AUGUCGAUGGUGCAGUGGUUUGAGCAUUGGACUGUGACUCUAGAGAUCAGGGUUCGAUUCCUGCUUGGCCAUG